rnacentral:rRNA from 1 species
UACGUAGGGGGCAAGCGUUGUCCGGAUUUAUUGGGCGUAAAGAGCGUGUAGGCGGCCAGACAGGUCUGCUGUGAAAACUCGAGGCUCAACCUCGAGAUGUCGGCGGAAACCGUCUGGCUAGAGCCCGGAAGAGGAGAGUGGAAUUCCUGGUGUAGCGGUGAAAUGCGUAGAUAUGCGGAGGAACACCGAUGGCGAAGGCAAUCCCCUGGGCCUGUACUGACGCUCAUGCACGAAAGCGUGGGGAGCAAACAGG